GAAACUUCAGAUGGAAAGCUUGCCAGCUCAUUAGAAAAUGUUCCUAAAUGUGAACGGUCAUGCCCCACAUUCAUGAAGUCAGCAUGUAAAUAGAUAACAUUGUCAGGGACCAAUGUUCAAUUUUAUUGUCCUCAAAUAAUAAACUGAACACUAACUUCAAACUUAAAAUAUUGCUGCCCAAAGCAUUCUGCUUUAAACCACAAAUUCAUGUGCCAGCUGCAUUCACAAUUGUAUUGACAGUGACUGGGUGUUUAAGUUUUAUAACUUAGGCUAUAGUUUGUUCUUUAAGAAAUGCAAGUUCUUUCAGUUUUGUAAAUGUUUUAUUCUCACUAUGUCUGUUUCUUUUCUUCUUAAGUCUCUUUUGGAAAAGUUCUUGAUCCCCAAUGCUUCACAAGCAGAGAGCAAAGUCUUCUAUUUGAAAAUGAAAGGAGAUUACUACCGUUACUUGGCUGAGGUUGCCGCUGGUGAUGACAAGAAAGGGAUUGUCGAUCAGUCACAACAAGCAUACCAAGAAGCUUUUGAAAUCAGC
rnacentral:lncRNA from 1 species